rnacentral:lncRNA from 1 species
GUCGAAUCAGAGCUACAGCUGCCGGCCUUUGCCACAGCCACGCCAGAUCUGAACCACAUCUGCAACCUACACCAUAGCUCAUGGCAAUGCUAGAUCCUUAAGCCACUGAGAGAGGCUAGGGAUCGAACCUGCAUCCUCAUGGAUACUAGUUGGGUUCGUUUCCACUGAGCCACAGCAGGAACUCCUCAGAGUGCAGUAAGAUAUUUUUCAGCACCAGAAUAUCUUGGUUAUCUCCAAAGAUGGCUGGUAAGAGGGUGAGAGGCCUUGGAAAUUGCAACUGUAGUUUGGGCUUGCUUGUAGUGUGUGAACAGAACAAAUGAUCUUCUGGUUUUGGAGUUUCGGCACCUGUGGAAAAAUCUGAUUGAGUUUAUACUUCAAGUACCCUAUGCAUUUAUAUCCUUUAUAUUUUCUCUUGGUUUUGUGGGAAUUUCAGCCUGUGUUUGCUAAGGAGAGCCACAGAAAUGUGGUGUUCUGGGCCUGGGAAUGAUGGGUGUGGAAUCUCCCAUUCUGUUCACCAGCUGGUUUGGGGGGAAUCCCUGGCCUGGAGGGCAUAGAUUCGGGCUCGUCCAUUUUGGGGUCCUCUUUGCACAGGACCUGCAGUGGGAAGCAUUCAAUAGAAUGUUGUUUGGAGAAGGGAAUAAAAGAAGUUGCUCUCCCUGCAAAAGUAAAACUGGAAGUCUUCUCAGGUACAGUAGGGACCUCAAUUAGUGAAGUUCACAUUCAAGGCUGCAUCUUUCCACCCCCUCCUUGUGCCCUCUAGUCACAUUAGAUGAGAACUCUCACCUGAAUCCUCUGUGCUGUUCUCCUGGGAGGCCCUUGACGGCCCCCACCGCCAGCUCACUCUUUGUCAAAGCCAGUCUACCCCUGAAGCCUUGGCUUAGGGACCAUCUCCUCCUAGAAGGCUUUUCUGAUUCCCACUCCCACCCCAAAACCUUUCUCUUCCUCCCCCUUGGUCCCCAUUUUCUUCCUGUGAUCAAACUGCCUUGCAUUUUCCUCAGCACUAAGAGUUUGGGCACCAACCCAGCCUGGGGAGGCAUGAGAGGCAGGAGAGGAAGUGAGAGAGACCACGGAUGGUCUCUUCACGGAGGAACUGACCGAGGCUGGGCUGGGGCAGGGGCCUGGAAAGCCAGGGGGAAAUGGUUUGAGAUGAGGCUGGAGCCUGGCAAGAGGAGGCCAAUCAGAGCCUCGGCCCAAGGCUGGGCUUCAUCCAGUGGCGGUCAUGAGGAAGGGUUUGUACUUGAACACUAAGUGCCUGUGUCAGGUUCCAGAAGGUUCCCUUGGGCUGCUGUGUAGAGAAUCAGCUGGGGGGGGGGGGAGGAGUGGAGGUCAAAAGGCAUCUGGAGGCCCUUGGCCAUUGCUCUGUGUAAAAAGACAUGAUAGAGGUCUGGACCAGGAUGAGGGCAGAAGGUGGCAUAUCUGGGAUCAUUUAGGAAGCGAAAUCAAAGAGACUUGGAGUCACUGGGAGAGAGCCAUGUCUAGUCCCACAGGAGGUGAGUAAUUGCCCAACAGCCUCCUCUUUGUCCUAACAUGCAUCUUGCAAUUUCAAUGCUGUGUGACUCCUGAGAGGCAUUGCUGCAGCCCAGGGUCUCUGGUCCCUGAGUCCAACCCCCCCUCCCCAUCCAGCCCUACAGGUGGGGGUGGAGGCUCCUCCUCCAAGUGGGCCACUGCUUCCUACAGAGCAAUGUGACUUGGGGAGUUCCCAUCGUGGCGCAGUGGUUAACGAAUCCGACUAGGAACCAUGAGGUUGUGGGUUUGGUCCCUGCCCUUGCUCAGUGGGUUAACGAUCCGGCGUUGCCGUGAGCUGUGGUGUAGGUUGCAGACGCGGCUCGGAUCCCGCGUUGCUGUGGCUCUGGAGUAGGCCGGCAGCUACAGCUCCGAUUCAACCCCUAGCCUGGGAACCUCCAUAUGCCGCAGAAGCGGCCCAAAGAAAUAGCAAAAAGCCAAAAAAAAAAAAAAGAAAUUCAGCCCCCCUCACACUCAGCCUUCGGCCCAGGUUCAAGGGCCUGCAGAGGCCCUGGCUCAUCUCCAGAUACCUCUUGUAGGGAUAGAGCUGCUCAUCCAGUUCUGAAUUGGGUGGUAGUUUUCUUCAUCUUUGGAGCGUGGAGGAGUAGAAGUGGAAACAUCCAGAAUUUAAGGUCCAGCAUAUAGAUAGGAAGUUUAUGGUAAAACUCUCAUCAGCUGCCCCCUAACGCCAUGAAAAUAUGUGAAAAACAUAUUUAUUGCAUGUUCAGAUCGGAAGUCACUGAAGAUGGAAUUCCCAUUAUGGGUCAGCAUUAACGAACCCUACUAGUAUCCAUGAGGACGCAG